rnacentral:rRNA from 1 species
UAGGGAAUCUUCCACAAUGGACGCAAGUCUGAUGGAGCAACGCCGCGUGAGUGAAGAAGGUUUUCGGACCGUAAAGCUCUGUUGUUGGUGAAGAAGGAUAGAGGUAGUAACUGGCCCUUUAUUUGACGGUAAUCAACCAGAAAGUCACGGCUAACUACGUGCCAGCAGCCGCGGUAAUCGUAGGUGGCAAGCGUUGUCCGGAUUUAUUGGGCGUAAAGCGAGCGCAGGCGGAAGAAUAAGUCUGAUGUGAAAGCCCCUCGGCUUAACCGAGGAAUUGCAUC